AGGCAGUUAAGCAGAUCCAACAUUCAUUUUUUUUUUUACCACUAAGUAAGCUUAGUGGUUUUUUUUAUUAAAAUAAAUAAAUAGAUACAAAGGCAGAUAAAACAAAGCAACAAAGACAAAAAGGGAAAUGCUAAAAGACAAAAGCAUUUACUGACAGUUGCCUUAAAUUUUCUCCCCUGCAAAGCUGGAUAGCAUAAAGGUUGCGUCGGAGCUCCUCUUCAUCGCAUUUCAGAAGCAAACCAUCUUCAAAGUUGAAAUCAGAUCCAUGGAGUAACAAACUCAGAAGAAGAUGAAGUUGAAGCAAAUGAAGGUUGGUUCAGAUCUGGGUUGUACAAGUUCGAGCUAUCAUGACUAGAUUCGAUUCAUCAAUGAUCCUCCAACAUGAGAUGAGCAUGAUGAUAAGGGUGGGUUCUCAUUAUUUUGUUGAAGCUGCUGAUCUGGUCCUACUUCAUUAGAAUUUUGGCAUCAAACUUGUUUUGAGAGAUGAUUGACGCCGCCGCAGCCACUUUUUCUCCCGAAGAGCAGUGUUUUUGGUGGUUGUAAUAGCAUUUUGGUUUGUGAGGGUGGGAAAUUCAGUAAUAGAGGUGAUGUUCACUGGCAAUGCAGUCCCCGGAGGAGGCUGACCGCCGGCCGAGGUGGCCAUGUACAGCAAGAAGUCUCUAGGUUUGGCGGCUAGGGUUUGGCAUCUUAAAAGAGAGAGAAUUUUUAGAGAGAGAAUAUCUCUUAUUCCAAUUUGGAGUAUAUAAGCAGAUCCAACAUUCAAAGGUGUUUCAUUAUAAAAAAAAAAAAAAAAGGGUAAUUUGCGGAGGUUAAAAACUGCAAAAAAAUGGGUAAUUUGUGGAGGUUAAAAACUGCAAUUCGCGAGGAUUUUAGCCUCCGCUAAUUGCUUGAGGAGUCUAAAAACCCCACAAAUUGCAACUUUCAACCUCCACAAAUUACCCAUUUUUUUGUAGUGUUUCCACAGUGAAUGUCAGAAUUGUGUUAACGUUUCCAUUGACAAACUGAAAGUUAGGUUUCUCUUUGCAAAGUUAAUAACGGUAAUCAACUAGGGCUAGGGCUGAGGGUGGUGGUGGAGCAAUAGCUGGGGUGGAGCAAUUUGAUCAUAAGGAUUUGGGUUUGGGUUUGAGUUCAGAUUCAACAUUUUUGAAAGUUUGAGAGUGGCGUAAAGAAUCUUCAUUGUCCUCAAUAUAAGUUUUUGUUGACGAUAUUCAGAAACUUCUACCGCAGUCUUAAAAUCGUCGAUCGUUUUAGUCAUAGUCACUGCAAAUUGAAACUUCCAACAAGACUUGAUUACGUGUCCAAUACUAAUAAAGUAAUAGGUAGUAAAACCUAACACCAGUAUCUCUCCAGCCCAACAUUACCUAAACUACUAUAUUUGAAGUAGCCGAAAGUCUCCAAAAAGCAUUUACCUUCUUAGUGUAAAAUAUAUGUAAGCUAUGAUCUUCACCAACUUGAUUUCGCCCUAGAAUCUGCAGCAAUAAAGAAAUAUAAAAAUCUCUAAUCGACAUUUCAAUUAGGGGAUAUCGCACUCACAAGUAACAUUGAGUUCAUGUCCAAUGAGUUUAUCAGAAUUUUCUAACUAGAGGCUUGCACAAUCAAGGCACCAAUCAAGGGCCUGCUUGUGUGAGGCCGUAGGUUCAUUGGGUGAAGAAAUAAUCAGGUCAUUGAGCUUACAGAUAAAGUCCAGGUCCGCCUCGAACAUAUUUACAAUGGCCUCAAACAAUACUUCAUAUUCUGUUUAGCUUUUUCAACCCUCAUCAUCGCUCCAUGACCAGGGGUGGAUUUAGAGGGUAUCAAGGGUAUUCGUCGGUAAAAAUUCCAGUGUAUAUAUAGGGUAGA